rnacentral:rRNA from 1 species
GAUGAACGCUGGCGGCGUGCCUAAUACAUGCAAGUCGAACGCUGAAGGAGGAGCUUGCUCUUCUGGAUGAGUUGCGAACGGGUGAGUAACGCGUAGGUAACCUGCCUGGUAGCGGGGGAUAACUAUUGGAAACGAUAGCUAAUACCGCAUGACAACAGUUAUUGCAUGAUAACUGUUUAAAAGUGCCAACUGCUCCACUACCAGAUGGACCUGCGUUGUAUUAGCUAGUUGGUGAGGUAACGGCUCACCAAGGCGACGAUACAUAGCCGACCUGUGAGGGUGAUCGGCCACACUGGGACUGAGACACGGCCCAGACUCCUACGGGAGGCAGCAGUAGGGAAUCUUGGGCAAUGGACGGAAGUCUGACCGAGCAACGCCGAGGGAGGGAAGAAGGAUUUCGGAUCGUAAAGCUCGGUUGUAAGAGAAGAACGAGUGUGAGAGUGGAAAGUUCACACUGUGACGGUAUCUGACCAGAAAGGGACGGCUAACUACGUG